GAUUAUGGCUCAGGAUGAACGCUGGCGGCGUGCCUAACACAUGCAAGUCGAACGAAGCACUUCUGAACAGAGAUUCGUCGAAGUUGGAUUUGACUUAGUGGCGGACGGGUGAGUAAUGUAUGAGCAACCUGCCUUUCGGAGGGGGACAACAGUUGGAAACGACUGCUAAUACCGCAUAAUGUAUCGAGGGGGCAUCCCCAUGAUACCAAAGGAGCAAUCCGCCGAAAGAUGGGCUCAUAUCUGAUUAGUUAGUUGGCAGGGUAACGGCCUACCAAGACUGCGAUCAGUAGCCGGACUGAGAGGUUGAACGGCCACAUUGGGACUGAGAUACGGCCCAGACUCCUACGGGAGGCAGCAGUGGGGAAUAUUGGGCAAUGGGCGAAAGCCUGACCCAGCAACGCCGCGUGAAGGAAGAAGGUCCUCGGAUUGUAAACUUCUUUUAUGAGGGACGAAGGAAGUGACGGUACCUCAUGAAUAAGCCACGGCUAACUACGUGCCAGCCGCUGC
rnacentral:rRNA from 1 species